rnacentral:misc_RNA from 1 species
AAAUGCGUGGGUGGACAGGCUCCCUGCUUGUGCAGCGAACUGUUUUACAUGCGCAUCGUCAAGUCUGCCCCGAUUGCUUAGAUAGCAUCAUUGGGCGUUGUUUGGUUUCUGUGUUGGCUACCACCUAGUUGGAAGAGAGUGUCCCUUAUUGCCUUUGUAUCGUCUUGCACCCUAUUAGUGGAAUGCUCGAUGAUCCUAGUAAUGCUUCUCAUUUUCCAUUGUCACUCUGCCAUAGUGUAGUCAUGGCAAUGGCAUAUGGUAAGUAUUCGUAAUCUCGGAUGYGGAACGCGAAAUUGGGUAUUGGGUUGAAUAAACCUUUUAUCCCAAGCAGAGCGUUUUACGCUUGGCACGUACGACACCUGCACUCGCGUUGACCUUUCCCAGCUUGAUUGAUGGGGGGGCUCAUGUGAUGCAGUUGUCAUAAAGGAAUG